rnacentral:lncRNA from 1 species
GUUGGCAAGUGUUACAGGCCAGGCUUUUCUGUUCCAGAGAGCUGGUUCUUAGCUUUAGUUUCCUCCUAGGCAUCCAACUUGUUCUCCUUGUUUUGUUAGAAACUUGCAUAAGAGCUCUACAAGCUUCCCCAAUGGUUUCAGUGCAAGAGUGUCCGGGAACAUUAUCGUCAAGCUGGGAAUUAGAGUUUAUUUCAAACUGUGUCCUCCUACUUUACAUGAGAAAUGUAUUUCUUCCAGCUUGUGAGAUCCACUGAGAUACCUUCAUCGGUCCAGGCAGCCCCACUUCUCUCUGAGCAAUGGCUGAGAACAGGCUGCUCAGCAGUUCCAGGAUGGGGACCCACAAUGGGGCUGUUGUCCUUGUGAUGUUUGUGCCUAUACACCAUGCUAACCUGCUUUUCUUUAUUGACAUUAUAUUGUAUUGGAAAGCAGUCAAUGAAAGAUUAUGGUCUAUGCAAAAAGGAAGCAUGGAAGGCUAGGACUACAUGCACUCCAGCUUUCCUCCAAGAGCAUCUUCCAAUUACCAGGCUGCUGCAUGGAUCCAACAUGAAAGAGGCGGUCUCACUAAGCAGAAGAAAGAUAGAUGGAGUUCUGGGGUGCCAAAGUGGUUUGAAUAGCGGGGGUAGGGUUCCAUAUUGGAGGAGUAUAUGGAAAGGAGCCUCAAAGUGUCAUGAAAAUUAUCCCUGGGUCCUUGGCCAACUCCUAAGCUGUAAAUGCACAGGGAGAGUUUCUAGUAGGCCUAGCAUAGAAUAACUUCUGGAAAGUGGAGAUCCCAACAGAUACCACAGAAGCAAAAUAGUACUUGGGAGAUUAAAAAUGACAUUGGUAUCCACUAUAGUGGAAAGAAUUUUUUUUGUUGUUGAGUUAUUGAUAGGUUACGAUCUUGUGAAAUUUCAGUUGUACAUUAAUGUUUGUCAGUCAUGUUGUAGGUGCACCACUUCACCCUUUGUGCCCACCCCCCACCCCACCUUUCCCCUGGUACCCACUAAACUGUUCUUAGUCCAUAAUUUUAAAUUCCUCAUAUGAGUGGAGUCAUACACAGAUUAUCCUUCUCUCGCUGGCUUAUUUCACUUAACAUAAUUCUCU